rnacentral:rRNA from 1 species
CGGACGGGUGAGUAACACGUGGAUAACCUACCUAUAAGACUGGGAUAACUUCGGGAAACCGGAGCUAAUACCGGAUAAUAUAUUGAACCGCAUGGUUCAAUAGUGAAAGACGGUUUUGCUGUCACUUAUAGAUGAAUCCGCGCCGCAUUAGCUAGUUGGUAAGGUAACGGCUUACCAAGGCAACGAUGCGUAGCCGACCUGAGAGGGUGAUCGGCCACACUGGAACUGAGACACGGUCCAG